UACGGAGGAUGCAAGCGUUAUCCGGAAUGAUUGGGCGUAAAGCGUCUGUAGGUGGUUUAUUAAGUCCCACGUCAAAGAUCAGGGCUUAACCUUGAAGCGGCAUGCGGAAACUGAUAAGCUCGAGUUCGGUAGGGGCAGAGGGAAUUCCCGGUGUAGCGGUGAAAUGCGUAGAUAUCGGGAAGAACACCAAGGGCGAAAGCACUCUGCUGGGCCGAAACUGACACUAAGAGACGAAAGCUAGGGGA
rnacentral:rRNA from 1 species